AAUGAACGCUGGCGGCAUGCCUAACACAUGCAAGUCGAGCGAGGACUUCGGUCCUAUCGGCGGAUGGGGGAGUAACGCGUGGGAACGUUCCCUUUGCUUCGGAAUAGCUCUGGGAAACGGGGAGUAAUACCGGACGAGCCCUUAUGGGGAAAGAUAUAUUGGCGAAGGGUCGGCCCGCGUAGGAUUCGGUCGUAGGGGGGGUAAUCGCCCUCAAAGCCGUCCAUUCAUUGCUGGGUUGAGUGGAUGAUCAGCAACACUGGGACUGAGACACGGCCUAAACUCCUACGGAAGGCAGCAGUGGGGAAGCUUAGACAAUGGGGGAAUCCCUGAGCUAGCCGGGCCGCGAGAGCGAUGAAGGCCUUAGGAUUGUAAGGCUCUUUAAGCUGGGACAAUAAGGACGGAACCAACAAAAGAAGCCCCGCCUACUACCGG
rnacentral:rRNA from 1 species